CGCUGAACUUAAGCAUAUCACUAAGCGGAGGAAAAGAAACU
rnacentral:rRNA from 1 species